rnacentral:rRNA from 1 species
ACUGCGAAUGGCUCAUUAAAUCAGUUAUCGUUUAUUUGAUAGUACCUUACUACAUGGAUAACCGUGGUAAUUCUAGAGCUAAUACAUGCUAAAAACCUCGACUUCGGAAGGGGUGUAUUUAUUAGAUAAAAAACCAAUGCCCUUCGGGGCUCCUUGGUGAAUCAUAAUAACUUAACGAAUCGCAUGGCCUUGCGCCGGCGAUGGUUCAUUCAAAUUUCUGCCCUAUCAACUUUCGAUGGUAGGAUAGUGGCCUACCAUGGUAUCAACGGGUAACGGGGAAUUAGGGUUCGACUCCGGAGAGGGAGCCUGAGAAACGGCUACCACAUCCAAGGAAGGCAGCAGGCGCGCAAAUUACCCAAUCCCGACACGGGGAGGUAGUGACAAUAAAUACUGAUACAGGGCUCUUUUGGGUCUUGUAAUUGGAAUGAGUACAAUUUAAAUCCCUUAACGAGGAACAAUUGGAGGGCAAGUCUGGUGCCAGCAGCCGCGGUAAUUCCAGCUCCAAUAGCGUAUAUUAAAGUUGUUGCAGUUAAAAAGCUCGUAGUUGAACCUUGGGCCUGGCUGGCCGGUCCGCCUCACCGCGUGUACUGGUCCGGCCGGGCCUUUCCUUCUGGGGAACCUCAUGCCCUUCACUGGGCGUGUUGGGGA